rnacentral:rRNA from 1 species
UACGUAGGGCGCGAGCGUUGUCCGGAUUUAUUGGGCGUAAAGAGCUCGUAGGCGGCUUGUCGCGUCGACUGUGAAAUCCCGCGGCUCAACUGCGGGUCUGCAGCCGAUACGGGCAGGCUAGAGUUCGGUAGGGGAGACUGGAAUUCCUGGUGUAGCGGUGAAAUGCGCAGAUAUCAGGAGGAACACCGGUGGCGAAGGCGGGUCUCUGGGCCGAUACUGACGCUGAGGAGCGAAAGCGUGGGGAGCGAACAGG